rnacentral:pre_miRNA from 1 species
UAAAGUGCUUAUAGUGCAGGCAAUGUUUAGUCGUCUACUGCAUUAUGAGCACUUCAAGU